UCCAACGUGAUCAUUUUUAAGAAAAACAGAGAGAAAAAACAGAAUAGAGCACGAAAGCAUGGGACAACCUGGAGCAUUGAUUCUUAAUCCCACGGCCAUCGCCCAUCAGGAACCCUCCGCCGCCGCCGCCCGCCGGCUCCGGCGUGUUCUCCACCGUGCUCGUCGCCGCCGCCGCCGCCGCCGCCUACCCCUAGGGGUCGCGGCCAUUAGACCGGCAAGGACACGCUUCUUGCAAAUGCUGUGUUUCUUGGAGCUCUGCGCAUCCUGCUGCAUUCAGAGUUUCAGUUCAGGAGAAUUCGGAAUUCAGAGAUUGUCCAUGUGAGCAGUGUUCAGUUCAGCGGCUGCAACCAUGCUUGAAGAUGUCAGCCAUCUUGAUCCUGACAAUGGGAAAGUCCUUCUGAUGGAUGAAGCUGUUUUCAACAAGUCACAAGUGCACGUUUUUUAUCUGUAACAGGAUGCUGUGAUGAUUCAUAUUGAAUGAUAUGCAAACUCUUCCCGUUUUGGGAUUAUUUCGCUGUAA